AACGCGAAGAACCUUACCAACCUUUGACAUGUCCCGUAUGAGCAACAGAGAUGUAGCUCUUCAGUUCGGCUGGCGGGAACACAGGUGCUGCAUGGCUGUCGUCAGCUCGUGUCGUGAGAUGUUGGGUUAAGUCCCGCAACGAGCCGCAACCCUCGCCCUUAGUUGCCAUCAUUCAGUUGGGCACUCUAAGGGGGACUGCCGGUGAUAAGCCGCGAGGAAGGUGGGGAUGACGUCAAGUCCUCAUGGCCCUUACAGGUUGGGCUACACACGUGCUACAAUGGCGGUGACAGUGGGACGCAAUAGGAGCAAUCCUGCGCAAAUCUCAAAAAGCCGUCUCAGUUCGGAUUGCACUCUGCAACUCGAGUGCAUGAAGUUGGAAUCGCUAGUAAUCGCAGAUCAGCACGCUGCGGUGAAUACGUUCCCGGGCCUUGUACACACCGCGCAUA
rnacentral:rRNA from 1 species